UUGCUAUCUGCAAUUUGUAAGAUUAGAACCUGCGGCAGGUUCGGUGUUGAGCGCAGCGAAACAACGGAGCCGGUUACGGCGACGGCCCGAAGGGCGAGCAAAGCGAGUCAUCCUGCACGACCCACCA
rnacentral:sRNA from 1 species